rnacentral:ncRNA from 19 species
CGCUGACGUGGACGGGUGUGACCGGUGGCGCGUCAGGGAAAUCCGGAUACCACGGGGGUAGGUUGAGAGAAUCCGGCGCGGUGGCGAAGAUAGAGCCGCGAUCUAUACGUCUGUCGGAG